CACAAACACACUCUGAAUUCACUACACACAAACACACAUUCUGCAUUCACUACACAAACACACCACACUCUGCAGUCACUAUGCACACUACAUGCCUACACAAACACACACUACACCCAUACACAAAUACACAAUCUGAAUUCACUAUACACAAACAGACACUCUGCAUUUACUAUACACACACACACUCUGCAUUCACUUUACACACACUACAUACG